GGACCCGCACAAGCAGUGGAGCAUGUGGUUUAAUUCGACGCAACGCGAAGAACCUUACCAGCGUUUGACAUGGGAAGUACCGGUUACAGAAUGGUAACCUUCAGUUCGGCUGGCUUCCGCACAGGUGCUGCAUGGCUGUCGUCAGCUCGUGUCGUGAGAUGUUGGGUUAAGUCCCGCAACGAGCGCAACCCUUAUCGUUAGUUACUAACAGUUCGGCUGAGGACUCUAGCGAAACUGCCGGUGAUAAGCCGGAGGAAGGUGGGGAUGACGUCAAGUCCUCAUGGCCCUUACGGGUUGGGCUACACACGUGCUACAAUGGUAGUGACAAUGGGUUAAUCCCAAAAAGCUAUCUCAGUUCGGAUUGUCGUCUGCAACUCGACGGCAUGAAGUCGGAAUCGCUAGUAAUCG
rnacentral:rRNA from 1 species